rnacentral:rRNA from 1 species
GUCUACAGCGAUGCUACUCUGAACAAGUCUGAUCCCAUCUGAUCUUGGAAGCUAAGCAGGGUCGGUCCUGGUUAGUACUUGGAUGGGAGACACCUAGGAACACCAGGUGCUGUAGGUG